rnacentral:rRNA from 1 species
UUACCGCCUUGACAUGAAAGAGAUUCCGAAAGGCACAGGUGCUGCAUGGCUGUCGUCAGCUCGUGUCGUGAGAUGUUGGGUUAAGUCCCGUAACGAGCGCAACCCUAUUUUAGUUACCAGCGUACGGGACAUUAAAAGACUGCCGGUGACAACCGGAGGAAGGCGGGGAUGAUGUCAAGUCAUCAUGGCCCUUAUGGCGGGCUACACACGUGCUACAAUGGGGUACAAGGGGCACGGCGACGGGAGCAAUCUCAAAACCAUCGUAGUCCGGAUUGAAGUCUGCAACUCGACUUCAUGAAGUCGGAAUCGCUAGUAAUCGCAAUCAGAAUGUGCGGUGAAUACGUUCCCGGGCCUUGUACACACCGCCCGUCACACCAUGGGAGUGGGUGACCGAA